rnacentral:rRNA from 1 species
ACGCUCGACACCUACGGGAGCAGCAGUCGGGAAUAUUGCGCAAUGGAGGAAACUCUGACGCAGUGACGCCGCGUAUAGGAAGAAGGUUUUCGGAUUGUAAACUAUUGUCGUUAGGGAAGAGAAAGGACAGUACCUAAGGAGGAAGCUCCGGCUAACUACGUGCCACAGCCGCGGUAAUCUGAGCGGGCUGGCAAGGC